rnacentral:rRNA from 1 species
UAAGGAAUAUUGGACAAUGGAGGCAACUCCGAUCCAGCCAUGCCGCGUGAAGGAAUAAGGCCCUAUGGGUUGUAAACUUCUUUUAGACGGGACAAAACCCCUUUACGUGUAAAGGGUUGAUGGUACUGUCAGAAUAAGCAUCGGCUAACUUCGUGCCAGCAGCCGCGGUAAUACGAAGGAUGCAAGCGUUAUCCGGCAUUAUUGGGUUUAAAGGGUGCGUAGGCGGACUAAUAAGUCAGUGGUGAAAGCCUGCAGCUUAACUGCAGAAUUGCCAUUGAUACUGUUAGUCUUGAGUACAGUUGAGGUAGGCGGAAUGUGUCAUGUAGCGGUGAAAUGCUUAGAUAUGACACAGAACACCGAUUGCGAAGGCAGCUUGCUAAGCUGUAACUGACGCUGAGGCACGAAAGCGUGGGGAGCAAACA